rnacentral:rRNA from 1 species
UGAAACCGUGUGCCUACAACCGCUCAGAGCCCCUUAUGAGGGUGAUGAGGUGCUUUUUGUAGAACGAGCCAACGAGUUACGGUAUGUAGCAAGGUUAAGUACUUAAGGUACGGAGCCGAAGGGAAACCGAGUCUGAAUAGGGCGACUAGUUGCAUGCCGUAGACCCGAAACCGGGUGACCUAUCCAUGGCCAGGUUGAAGCGAGGGUAAAACCUCGUGGAGGACCGAACCACGUUGCUGUUGAAAAAGCAUGGGAUGAGCUGUGGAUAGCGGAGAAAUUCCAAUCGAACCCGGAGAUAGCUGGUUCUCUCCGAAAUAGCUUUAGGGCUAGCGUCGAGUAUGAGUAGUGGAGGUAGAGCACUGAAUGGGCUAGGGGGCAUAGCGCUUACCGAACCUUAUCAAACUCCGAAUGCCACAUACUUUGAGCUCGGCAGUCAGACUACGAAUGAUAAGAUCCGUGGUCAAAAGGGAAACAGCCCAGAUCGUCAGCUAAGGUCCCAAAGUGUAAGUUAAGUGGGAAAGGAUGUGAGAUUUCUAAGACAACUAGGAUGUUGGCUUAGAAGCAGCCAUUCAUUAAAAGAGUGCGUAAUAGCUCACUAGUCGAGAGAUCUUGCGCCGAAAAUGUAACGGGGCUAAACUUACC